UAUUGGACAAUGGGGGAAAGCCUGAUCCAGCAAUGCCGUGUGAGUGAUGAAGGCCCUAGGGUUGUAAAGCUCUCUUACCCGGGAUGAUAAUGACAGUACCGGGAGAAUAAGCUCCGGCUAACUCCGUGCCAGCAGCCGCGGUAAUACGGAGGGAGCAAGCGUUGUUCGGAAUUACUGGGCGUACAGCGCACGUAGGCGGCUUUGUAAGUCAGAGGUGAAAGCCUGGAGCUCAACUCCAAAAUUGCCUUUAAGACUGCUUCGCUUGAAUCCAGGAGAGGUGAGUGGAAUUCCGAGUGUAGAGGUGAAAUUCGUAGAUAUUCGGAAGAACACCAGUGGCGAAGGCGGCUCUACUGGAACUUGUAUUGACGCUGAGGUGCGAAG
rnacentral:rRNA from 1 species